AGUGAACGCUGGCGGUAGGCCUAACACAUGCAAGUCGAACGGCAGCACAUUAAGAGCUUGCUCUUACGGGUGGCGAGUGGCGGACGGGUGAGGAAUACAUCGGAAUCUACUUUUUCGUGGGGGCUAACGUAGGGAAACUUACGCUAAUACCGCAUACGCCCUACGGGUGAAAGCAGGGGAUCUUCGGACCUUGCGCGAUUGAAUGAGCCGAUGUCGGAUUAGCUAGUUGGCGGGGUAAAGGCCCACCAAGGCGACGAUCCGUAGCUGGUCUGAGAGGAUGAUCAGCCACACUGGAACCGAGACACGGUCCAGACUCCGACGGGAGGCAGCAGUGGGGAAUAGUGGACAAUGGGGGCAAGCCUGAUACAGCCAUACCGCGUGGGUGAAGAAUGCCUUCGGGUUGUAAAGCCCUUUUGUGGGGAAAGAAACGCAGCAGGUUAAUACCCCGCUGUUCUGACGGUACCCAAAGAAUAAGCACCGGCUAACUUCGU
rnacentral:rRNA from 1 species